UAGUCUACUUUUUUCUUGUAUUUUUUGUUACAUAUCUUUUUGUCAUCAAAUAUUGUCUACCAUUCAACAUUAAUAUUGUCUUUAGCGUAAAUUUGCAUUUUUGUUUCUCCAGAUUUUGUUCACAUUUGUUGUCAGCUAUGCUUUUCGGUUGCAGUUUAUUAUUUGUUUUUCCUGUUUUGGUGCUAUAUUGAAAAUUUUUUUAGGCUCACUAUUUAUUUGUAUUGCCAGCUUUUAUUCACAACAAUGAGAAGGUGUUCUUUCGGUUGCUUGGUUGUUAUUAGGAUUUGUAACCAGUUGAUGGGAGUCGUACAACUAGUCAACGUGUCAUUGUUGUGGUUUGGUUUCGUGUUCUGACUGUUCGGGGAUGUCAUUUCUAUGUUUAUCAGUGUUUUUUAAUCGAUUGAUAUAUGGGUUUUUUCCCUUUCUAGAAGUUUAUAUUGUUCUUUUUCAGAUUUUGGUUUUCUAUUUUUCCUUUUUUUGCUUCCCUUGGCUCUCUUUAUUGCAUUCACUUGCUUCUUUCUCAGGUUGAUGGAUCUCAGCCUUUCAGUUUUUUUUUUUUUUUGAUUUAAUAUGAUGGUUUUCCUUUUUUUUUUUUUUUUUGUUUGUUUACUCCUUAUUUGUGUAACCCAAAUUUGAGUUUUGUUGUUUCCCUGUUUUGGCAUUCGUUUCUUUUCUUAUUCACUUUAACUGGUUCAACUUUUCAACCCUGUAAAAUUCCAACAUUUAUCGUUGAUUCUUUUCAUUUUAGGGUAUUUUAAUGUUUAUGUUCUUUUUAAUUUUUUUAUUUAUUAUUAACUUCAAUAUAGGAUUUCCUUUGAAUUCAUUUUCCUAAUGUUCUUAUUUCUUUUAUUUCAUGAUGUCCUAAUUAUUUUGGAUUUUUUUUAUUGAUGUUUUUGCUAUUGAGCAUGUUUUAAGUUGGCUUUGUCAUUGCUUUUAGUUAAUAAGUGUUUGAUUCGUCUUUUUUUUUUUUUUCAUUAAUGAUGGGUUUUUUUUUCAUAUUUGUUCAUAGGUAUAUGUAAAAUUUAGCAGGUUAUUCUUCUCGGUUUUAGAUAGUCUUUUUACUUUGUUUGUACUUUUAUUUCUGUUUCUUUACAUAUUUGAGCUCGACAGUUUGUUUUAUUCAAUUUUAUUUUUAAAGGUGCUUUUUGCCAACGUUUUCAUGGGUUACUCUUAUUGAUUUGAUUUCCAUUUUUGUUUUGCAGGAAACUUGGAUAGAAAGGUUCAGUAUUUGUUGACUGCCUGAUCUUCUUACUAUUAUUUGACGUUUAUUGUCUAUUGAAUCUAUCACCUUUGUUUUAGGAUUACUUGAUGAUAGUUUUUGCCAUGCUGUUUUCCUAUUGAAAUUUGGUGGACUUAUGCAUUUUGUUGUUCUGUAGCCUUGGCUAAGCAUGUUCACUGUAUGUGUGUAUCUUUAUAAUUUAACAUGCUUCCUGAUUAGAUAAUGUUUAUGGUUUACAAAUUGUACAUACUGACUCUGUAAUUUUUGUUUUGUUAGUUCAUGGACUAUUAUAUAUGAUUUUCAGUAAGAAUACAUAUUGUUUUAUUGUUGUUUUAUUGAAUAUUGAGAACCUAUGUUUUAUUUAGAAUUUUUAUUUAAUGUUCAUAUUUUUAUCACUAUGUCAGUUUUGUUUGAUCAAGGCUCUGAUCAAACAGACAAGGGUGUUUACUGUGGGUUUAACCAACAAAGCAAUCCAAACAAGAAGUGAAAACUACAAAAUGUUUGAUUCCAAUCAACCCUAACUUCUUCAUUGGAAUGCUUCAACUUCUGCAACCACUUCACCAUCCUCAACACCAACACCAACACUGGAGGCACUAGAAGAACAAACCCUACCCUCACCAAUUAAAAACCAAGUGACUAGAGAGUUUUUUCUAGAUUCUACGCCACAGAAAGAACCCAUAAUCAGCAAAUCAGAGAAUUCCCAAGACCAACUUUUACUGGAGCUUACACUGCAGAAAAAACCCAUUGCCAACAAAGACAAACAAUCACCCACCAAAAAAUAUAAGAUCAGAUACAGUAUAGUUACCUUCAAAGCUAUUCACACACCCAAA